rnacentral:rRNA from 1 species
AUAUUAUUAAGCGGAGGAAAAGAAACUAACAAGGAUGCCCUCAGUAACGGCGAGUGAAGCGGGCAAAGCUCAACCUGAAAAUCGGGUUUCCAAACGGGAUCUCGAAUUGUGGGCUACAGACGCUGGAUCAGUGUGUGACCCAGGUAUAACUCUUUUGAAACAAGGGAUCAUAGAGGGUGAGAAUCCCGUCUGUGACCUGGAGUUCGCCGCGUACGAUCCGUGUUCAUAGAGUCGAGUUGUUUGGGAUUGCAGCUCUAAAUGGGUGGUAAAUUUCAUCUAAAGCUAAAUAUCGACGAGAGACCGAUAGCGCACAAGUA